AUUGAACGCUGGCGGCAUGCCUUACACAUGCAAGUCGAACGGUAACAGGUCUUCGGAUGCUGACGAGUGGCGAACGGGUGAGUAAUACAUCGGAACGUGCCUAGUAGUGGGGGAUAACUACUCGAAAGAGUGGCUAAUACCGCAUGAGAUCUACGGAUGAAAGCAGGGGAUCGCAAGACCUUGUGCUACUAGAGCGGCCGAUGGCAGAUUAGGUAGUUGGUGGGAUAAAAGCUUACAAAGCCAACGAUCUGUAGCUGGUCUGAGAGGACGAUCAGCCACACUGGGACUGAGACACGGCCCAGACUCCUACGGGAGGCAGCAGUGGGGAAUUUUGGACAAUGAGCGAAAGCCUGAUCCAGCAAUGCCGCGUGCAGGAUGAAGGCCUUCGGGUUGUAAACUGCUUUUGUACGGAACGAAAAGCCCCGGGUUAAUACCCUGGGGUCAUGACGGUACCGUAAGAAUAAGCACCGGCUAACUACGUGCCAGCCGCCGCGGUAA
rnacentral:rRNA from 1 species